UAAGUACUCCCUCCGUCCGGAAUUACUUGCAUAGAAAUGGAUGGAAAUGAAUGUAUCUAGAACUAAAAUACGUCUAGAUACAUCCAUUUCUCGGACAAGUAUUUCCGGACGGAGAGAGUUGCUC
rfam:Triticum aestivum genome assembly, contig: Triticum_aestivum_CS42_TGACv1_scaffold_577684_7BL